AGCAGUGUGGUGUAGUGUGCACACGGGGUCUCCUUAAUGGGAAAUCAAAAACGAAUCUUACCCCCCGAGGUCCUUGUUCGAGCCAAGGCGCUGCUG